CUCACAACGACUCAAGCUACCACUUACUGUUGAUUGUGAUGAAAUGCCAGCUGAGGCACACGCCUUGGGAGCUAAGUGUUUGCUGCACUUGACUACUAUGAAGACUGGUGUGGGAAGGGUCGCUUUGGAUGCACUUGAGCAGGGGUCCCCAACCCCUGAGCCAUGGAGCCGUAAGGAGCCACACAGCAGGUGAGUGGUGUCGAGUGAGGGAGUGAGGGAAGCUUCGUCUGUAUUUACAGCCACUCCCCUUUGCUCACAUUCCCGCCUGAGCUCCACCUUCUCAGAUGAGCAGCAGCAUUAGAUUCUCAUAGGAGAACGCACCCUGUUGUGAACCGUGCAUGUGAGGGAUCUAGGUUGCGCUGUUCUUAUGAGAAUCUAAUACCUAUUGAUCUGUCACUUUCUCCCAUCACGCUCAGGUGGGACCAUCCAGUUUCAGGAAAACAAGCUUAACACGCCCACUGAUUCUACAUUAUGGUGAGUUCUAUAAUUAUUUUAUUAUAUAUUCCAGUGUAAUAAUGGAAAUGAAGUGCCUAAUAAACGUAAAUGUGCUUAAAUCUUUUGGCCCAGCUCCUACCUCCCGGCAGCCUCGCCAGGCCCAGAACUCUCUCCAGUCAGCCUCUACAGACCAAGCUCAUGACUCACAAUGGCCUAUUGAGGCCCAUACCCUACCUCACGGCAGUCUCCGCAGAUGAGCCUACUGCCUCACAACAGCCUCCACAGGCACAGCUCCAUCGUUACAAUGGCCUCUUUAGACCCAGCUCCUGCCUCCCAGCCUUCUCUCCAGGCCCUGAACUUUCUCCGGUCUCCCUCUGUUGUCCGAGGCUGGAGGGUAGUAGUGCUAUCGCAGCUGACUGCAGCCUCAACCUUCCAGGCUGAAGCGAUCCUCCCAUCUCAACCUCCCACGUGGCUGAGACUACAGCUGCUUGCCACUAUGCCCAACUAAUAUUUGGUAUUUUCGUAUAUGUGGAUUCCAGAGGGGUGACAGCGAAACGUGGGACCAUCCAGUUUCAGGAAAACAAGCUUAACACGCCCACUGAUUCUACAUUAUGAUUCUUCAGGCCCAGCAUCUGCCUCACUGUGGACCCCCCAAGCCAAGCUCCCAACCUUUCAGCAGCUUCUACACACCCAGCUCCCGCCUGCCAGUGGCCUCUUCAGGCCCAUGGGGCUCAUUCCUCACAACAGCCUUUCCAGUCCCAGUUUUUCCCUUCCGGCGGCCUCUCCGGGCUGAGAACCUCCUCAAGUCGGCCUCUCCAGACCCACUUGCACCCUCCAGGCGUCCUCUCCGGGCCAAGCUCCUCUUCCUGGCUGUGUCUCCAGGCCCGACUCCUGCCUCUCAACAACGUCUUUGGACUCAGUGCCUACCCAUCUCCUGGCGUCCUUGGUCGGCCCACAGCUUCCUCAAGCCAAGCUCCCCAGGCCCAGGUCAGGCCUCACGGUGCCCCCUCCACGAUGAGCUCCUGCCCUCCAAUGGCACCUGCAGGCCCCAAAUGGUCUCCGGUCGGUGGGCUCCUCCACGCCAAGCUUGGGCCUCCCGGUGACCUCUGCAGGCCCAAGUUGUCCUGAAGUCAGCAUCUCCCAGCCGUGCCUCCCAGCAAGUAAGCAAGCUCUUUUGGCUCAACUCCUGCCCAGCUCCCAACCGCCUUUGUAGGUCCCGAACUUUCUCCAGCCAAGUUCUUUGGGCCUCAUUCCUGCCGCCCGGUGGCCUGUACGGGCCCAGCAAUGGUUGGAGAACGGCCUCUGCAGGUCCCGCUCUUGCCUCCCAGGGGCCUCUCCAGGCCCAGCUCUUGCCCCCACGGCGGCCACCCGGGGCCAAGUCCCUGCCUGCCUCCCAGCAGCCCG